rnacentral:lncRNA from 1 species
UUUAUUUUUCACAAAUGAAAAAAGUGUGUGGCAUACAGUUGUUUUGGUUGUUAAGCUGUUACCAAUUUAUCGCCAGAAACAACAAACCUUACAAAGUUUUAGAGGAAUAAAUGUUUAACAUAGACCAGUACUUGAUAUAAUGUAUCAUCUUCAUAUUUAUUUGAUUUCUAAAUUAUAAUUUGACAAAAGACCAUGGUUAAAAAGCACACUUAUCCACCCUCUAUUUGUCUAUUUAGAUCAGGUUUAAAAUAUAAUAAUAAUAAUAAUAAUAAUAAUAAUAACUCAGUUUAUUUAUUUAUUUAUUUAUUAUUAUUAUUAUUAUUAUAGAGCUGGACAAAUUGACGAUUUAACAGAAAUAUUAGCCGGGAAUUAUUAUUCAUAACACAGACCGGCAGCCUCCACUAUUUUGUAAAGGGGAGGAUCGCAUGUCAUAAUGAGAUCAAAGUGACCAAUCAGCGUUUUUGUUACAGCUGUUGCUCCUCCGCCGAUCCAUAAUGAAGCUCUAUGUUCAAAAAGCGGAAAUACAGAAGGCAACGGUAAGCGUCAUGCAGUUGUUGGUGUACUUCUCUGAUUUAUUAUGAUAUUGUUAAAUCACCCUUCGCAUUUAAUAAUAUAUUUGCUUUAAACGUUUUGUGGCAGAUAAUAACGUUUUUGACGAUUUGCCAGAUUUAAUAUGUACAGUGGACAUCUGCCGCCGGGUCUCAGUGAGGCUGACCUGAGCUCUGAGGAUGCUGAUGAAGAGAAACAGCAGAAAACACACAAGGCGAGCAGCUCUCACUUCAGUCAGACACAGAGCCACAUUCAGCGUGUGUACAGGUUGAAUGUAAUGACACAAAAACUGGUUUGCUCAAUGAUGCAUUUGGGAAUGAUUGUCUUCCUGGAGUUUCCUUGGAUAAGUGGCAAAAGUUCAAAGAGCUCCAGCGAGCAAAAGUUGAUCAGAGAAUGAAGGAAACACAAAGAAAGCGGAAAAAGGAAGGCGCCACAAGAAAGGUCAUUAUAACCGUAUACUGUUUAUUCCUUUCAAUGCAAACAUAACAAUUCUUCAUACAGCUGUGCUGAUUUGUGUUUGAAAGGAAUUUCUCAUGCAAUUACAUUGCUGCCUAGGUACCACAACAUGGGUGUCUGGUAAGUAUUACUGCAGUAGAACUAACAGGUGUCAUUGCUUGUGGAGAUGAAUAGCACAAUUUAAAAAUCUUUCUCAUAUGCGUUAUGUUUGCACAUGCCUAUGUGCAAUAUAUUAUAAUAUUUUACACCUCAAACAGGUGGGACACAGAAUUGUGACGCUGAGCAGAAAAGAUAUGAUAGGCAAUUAUGGUUUGCUUCGAGACAGUUAAUGAUGAUUUCCAUAAUAGACCAUUCCAUCAAAACAUCACUGCAUUAGUCAGCAGGUCAUGAGAAAGACUAUGAGAGAUGUUGUGUAAACAACAAGCUUAAAUACAUGUUCUUCACACAUGUGAAUAUGUACUGAAUACUUCAAAAUAAUAUCAUGGCGUAUUCCUCAUCUCACAUUGUAGCCUGUAUUGUAUAUGAUGAUUUUAAAUUCAGAUCUACUUCUGAAAUAAUAUAUUUGUUCAUUGACUGAUGUAAGAAAUAUUGCUAUUCGCAUAUCUAAAGUAAAUGCAAUGUGAUCUUUAAUGUGCAAUUGACAGAAUUAGCUGAAAAUCACGUAGCGUAUGAUGGGCACAGACUCUAGUUUUUUUUUUUAAUCUUUAGACUUUGAUUCUAUCCAAUUGGAGAUUAUAAAACAUUUUUGGGAUUUUGAGCCAAUUUUAGAGCACAUACUGUUUUCAUAAUGUUAUACAUCUCCAAGCAACAAGGCGCAUGUUUCUGCGUGAGUUUGUUGUGUUUGGAACCACUUGAAAAGUCUGGUAGUGUGUGUGAUCCAUAGUUGUUUAGUGUAUGAAGUUCAGGUUUUUUUCUAACCCUUUAUGAAAUCAGCAGCUGUGUGAUGCUCAGUUUUUAAACUCUGUUCAAAUCAUUCCAGCCUCGAGGCAAAAGGAGGGGAAACAAAUUUAAAAUGUUUCAUCUUAGUACAAAAAAAUUCUUCAUAUUUAAAACAUCCUGCCUAUUUCAAUGAACACCCAUAUACAGGUCCUUCUCAAAAAAUUAGCAUAUUGUGAAAAAGUUCAUUAUUUUCCAUAAUGUAAUGAUAAAAAUUAAACUUUCAUAUAUUUUAGAUUCAUUGCACACCAACUGAAAUAUUUCAGGUCUUUUAUUGUUUUAAUACUGAUGAUUUUGGCAUACAGCUCAUGAAAACCCAAAAUUCCUAUCUCAAAAAAUUAGCAUAUCAUGAAAAGGUUCUCUAAACGAGCUAUUAACCUAAUCAUCUGAAUCAACUAAUUAACUCUAAACACCUGCAAAAGAUUCCUGAGGCUUUUAAAAACUCCCAGCCUGGUUCAUUACUCAAAACCGCAAUCAUGGGUAAGACUGCCGACCUGACUG